rnacentral:lncRNA from 1 species
UUUCCAUGAAGUUUUCCAGAGCAUGCAUAUUAUGGACUUCUUUUUUUUUUUUUUCUUUCUUUCUUUCUUUCUUUCUUUCUUUCUUUCUUUCUUUUUCUUUUUUUUUCUGAAAGGGAUUUUUGCAGUAUUUUGCCAUCAUGAAGAAAGGAUGUGUGAAAAUUGGCAGGUGUUAGAGUCUACUGGUCAUUCAUGCCACGCCUGCUGUGGAGGAAAAAUAAUCAAGAGCUUAACAACCUAUCUGCUUUUGAAGAUAAAGGAUAUGCUGCCAAGGCAGUGAAGUGACUUCUGCGUCUCUAUUUGUUUUCCAGCAAAUGCUUUUCUUAUGAAAAAGAAAAAUCUUGUUGUCAUCUAUGUCAGUGGUGAAGAGACCUUAUGCAGCUAUUUUGACUAUACACGCAGUAAAAAGGGAGACUUUGGAUGCAGACUGUAGCCAUCUCUCCAGCCUUGUCUUUGGCUCCAGAACCUGCUGCUCCUGACAGGAUUAUCUGCUUGGAGCCUGGACUUGAUUUACUUUUGAGUCUAUGGCAGCUGAUGGGCCCUGUUACCAGCACCCAGCUAUGCAUGCUAUGUUGACAUCUUGUGGGACAGCACCCUGUUGAGAAACUAUGCACCACUGACUGACAUCAGUAAGGAGGAUUCUACAUGGCCUGUUUCUCUGCUCCCAGAACAUGCAGAGAAACAUAAAUCCUAACAGAUCCAGGGUCAUUGCACAGCAAGGAGUGCUCAAAAGCUCUCACUUUUUAUCUUCUUGAUAUUUUCUGGUUUACUGUGUUCAAGUUCAGUUGUGAGGAGUUCAAACACACAGUAUGAAAAAAAACCCAACCCAACUUUUGAUAGCCAUGCUCAUGCUCCUUUUACCCAUCUUUGCUGGUAAAUAUACCUUUUUAUUUUUUUCCCAUGGGUGCCUUAAUUCAGCCAUUUUUUACUUUGUAUUGUGUUGAUUUUACAUUGUGGAUUUCAAUCCUUCAGAUACAGAGUAGUAAGUAUUCCAGAAAGAUAUGUUUAAAUG